rnacentral:rRNA from 1 species
AUUGAACGCUGGCGGCAGGCUUAACACAUGCAAGUCGAGCGGGGGAAGGUAGCUUGCUACCGGACCUAGCGGCGGACGGGUGAGUAAUGCUUAGGAAUCUGCCUAUUAGUGGGGGACAACAUCUCGAAAGGGAUGCUAAUACCGCAUACGUCCUACGGGAGAAAGCAGGGGAUCUUCGGACCUUGCGCUAAUAGAUGAGCCUAAGUCGGAUUAGCUAGUUGGUGGGGUAAAGGCCUACCAAGGCGACGAUCUGUAGCGGGUCUGAGAGGAUGAACCGCCACACUGGGACUGAGACACGGCCCAGGCGCCUACGGGGGGCAGCAGUGGGGAAUAUUGGACAAUGGGGGGAACCCUGAUCCAGCCAUGCCGCGUGUGUGAAGAAGGCCUUAUGGUUGUAAAGCACUUUAAGCGAGGAGGAGGCUACUCUAGUUAAUACCUAGGGAUAGUGGACGUUACUCGCAGAAUAAGCACCGGCUAACUCUGUGCCAGCCGCCGCGGUAA